GUUGUAUGGUUAAGUGACUAAGCGUACACGGUGGAUGCCUUGGCAGUCAGAGGCGAUGAAGGACGUAUUAACUUGCGAUAAGCCCAGAUUAGGCAGUAAAAGCCACUUGAGUCUGGGAUUUCCGAAUGGGGAAACCCACUAGCAUAAGCUAGUAUCGCUGCGUGAAUACAUAGCGCAGCGAGGCGAACCGGGGGAACUGAAACAUCUAAGUACCCCGAGGAAAAGAAAUCAACCGAGAUUCCGAAAGUAGCGGCGAGCGAAAUUGGACUAGCCCUUAAGCUUUAUAUGCGUUAGACGAACGGUCUGGAAAGUCCGGCGAUACAGGGUGAUAGCCCCGUAGUUGACAACGCACAUUCAGUGAAAUCGAGUAGGGCGGGACACGUGAUAUCCUGUCUGAA
rnacentral:rRNA from 1 species